rnacentral:rRNA from 1 species
GACGAACGUUGGCGGCGUGCUUAAUACAUGCAAGUCAACUGAAGCAGUGGUAGCAAUAUCGCUGUGGAGGUGGCGCACGGGUGAGUAACACGUAGGUAAUCUGCCUUCAGGUCUGGCAUAACUCCGGGAAACCGGGGCUAAUAGCAGAUGAUGCAGCGGCUCGACAUCGAGACAGUUGUUAAAGCUAUGGCGCCUGAAGAUGAGCCUGCGUCUGAUUAGCUAGUUGGCGGGGUAACGGCCCACCAAGGCAACGAUCAGUAGCUGGUCUGAGAGGAUGAUCAGCCACACUGGAACUGAGACACGGUCCAGACUCCUACGGGAGGCAGCAGUAAGGAAUAUUGCUCAAUGGGGGAAAUCCUGAAGCAGCAACGCCGCGUGAGGGACGAAGGGCUUUUGCUUGUAAACCUCUGUAGUGAGAGAAAAAAAUCCCAAUCUUUGGGACAUGAUGGUAUCUCAAAAGUAAGCCCCGGCUAACUACGUG